rnacentral:rRNA from 1 species
GAUGAACGCUGGCGGCGUGCCUAAUACAUGCAAGUCGAGCGAACAGAUGAGGAGCUUGCUCCUCUGACGUUAGCGGCGGACGGGUGAGUAACGCGUGGAUAACCUACCUAUCAGACUGGGAUAACUUCGGGAAACCGGAGCUAAUACCGGAUAAUAUAUUGAACCGCAUGGUUCAAUAGUGAAAGACGGUUUUGCUGUCACUUAUAGAUGGAUCCGCGCCGCAUUAGCUAGUUGGUAAGGUAACGGCUUACCAAGGCUACGAUGCGUAGCCGACCUGAGAGGGUGAUCGGCCACACUGGAACUGAGACACGGUCCAGACUCCUACGGGAGGCAGCAGUAGGGAAUCGUCCGCAAUGGGCGAAAGCCUGACGGAGCAACGCCGCGCGAGUGAUGAAGGUCUUCGGAUCGUAAAACUCUGUUAUGAGGGAAGAACAAAUGUGUAAGUAACUAUGCACGUCUUGACGGUACCUAAUAAGAAAGCCACGGCUAACUACGUG